rnacentral:lncRNA from 1 species
AAGUGGUAGAACUCAAAAAUCACGUUUCUAAAAGUCGUGGUGUUGAUUUAUGUGAAAACAGUCCCGUUUCUAGGAACUGUUUUGGAUCAGUCCGUAGCAGGGGCAUUUUCGUCCCCUUUUUGUGCUUUAUAAAUUCUGGAAAAAUUUUGGGGUGUUAAUAUCUGUAGAUAUGCAGGUUGUGUAAAAAAUUGAGAAUUUUUGGCCAUACGGUUUGAGAGAUAUGGAUUUUACGGUGAAGGACUCCAAAACUUUUUUUUUUUGCCAAAACGUUGCUUCCACAAAAAGGAAAUUUCGGGGUUAGCUAGCUUGCUCUAAAAAUUCUGAACUUUUGGUAUGUUAUAGUAAACUCAAUAAGCUUUCCAUAGACUCCGAAACGGACUAAAUCCGACAUCGGAGGAGAGAGUUAUGAAAUUUCUCCCAAACUACUCAAAGGUAAGAAAAAACUGUUAGAGCAACAGUUUUUAACAGCCACUUCCGGGCUAAUUUCUGGGAGCUUAACAUGUCCAAAUAUGGAUUGUGAUAGAUGAAAAUUGUAGUUCGGAAAGAUAGGAAUUCAACAAAAUUGACGGAUCGUUAAUCGGAGUUACAGAUCUCAUUUUAUUUAAGAUUUAGUAAAGGACUCCAAAACUGCCAAAUGACAAAAAGUUUCUGUCCAGAUCUGUCCAGGGGCUGUUUUGGCAACUUAAAGUGUGAAAUAAAUUCCGGCCUUUUGGGAAAUGGAAAUAUAUGGUAUUAAGUACCCCGUGUCCAAAAAUGAGCUAAUUCCGACUUAAAAUGACCGAG